CCUACGGGUGGCUGCAGUGGGGAAUUUUACACAAUGGGCGAAAGCCUGAUGUAGCGACACCGCGUGAGCGAAGAAGCCUUUUGGGGUGUAAAGCUCUGUCAGCAGGGACGAAACAAAUGACGGUACCUGCAGAGGAAGCAUCGGCUAACUACGUGCCAGCAGCCGCGGUAAGACGUAGGAUGCAAGCGUUGUCCGGAUUUAUUGGGCGUAAAGAGUUCGUAGGUGGUUUGUUAAGUCUGAUGUUAAAGACUGGGGCUCAACCUCGGAAAUGCAUU
rnacentral:rRNA from 1 species